AGCGAACGCUGGCGGCAGGCUUAACACAUGCAAGUCGAACGCAUCACUUCGGUGGUGAGUGGCAGACGGGUGAGUAACACGUGGGAACGUACCCUUCGAUCUGGGAUAACUUCGGGAAACUGGAGCUAAUACCGGAUACGCCCUUUUGGGGAAAGGUUUACUGUCGAAGGAUCGGCCCGCGUCUGAUUAGCUAGUUGGUGGGGUAACGGCCUACCAAGGCGACGAUCAGUAGCUGGUCUGAGAGGAUGAUCAGCCACACUGGGACUGAGACACGGCCCAGACUCCUACGGGAGGCAGCAGUGGGGAAUAUUGGACAAUGGGCGCAAGCCUGAUCCAGCCAUGCCGCGUGAGUGAUGAAGGCCUUAGGGUUGUAAAGCUCUUUUGUCCGGGACGAUAAUGACGGUACCGGAAGAAUAAGCCCCGGCUAACUUCGUGC
rnacentral:rRNA from 1 species